rnacentral:rRNA from 1 species
GACGAACGCUGGCGGCGUGCUUAACACAUGCAAGUCGAACGGGAAGGCCCUGCGUUUGUGGGGUGCUCGAGUGGCGAACGGGUGAGUAACACGUGAGUAACCUGCGCUUGACUUUGGGAUAACUUCAGGAAACUGGGGCUAAUACCGGAUAGGAGCGCCUGCUGCAUGGUGGGGGUUGGAAAGUUUCGGCGGUUGGGGAUGGACUCGCGGCUUAUCAGCUUGUUGGUGGGGUAGUGGCUUACCAAGGCUUUGACGGGUAGCCGGCCUGAGAGGGUGACCGGCCACAUUGGGCCUGAGAUACGGCCCAGACUCCUACGGGAGGCAGCAGUGGGGAAUAUUGCACAAUGGGCGGAAGCCUGAUGCAGCAACGCCGCGUGCGGGAUGACGGCCUUCGGGUUGUAAACCGCUUUCGCCUGUGACGAAGCGUGAGUGACGGUAAUGGGUAAAGAAGCACCGGCUAACUACGUG